rnacentral:rRNA from 1 species
GACGAACGCUGGCGGCGUGCUUAACACAUGCAAGUCGAACGGAAAGGCCCUGCUUUUGUGGGUUGCUCGAGUGGCGAACGGGUGAGUAACACGUGAGUAACCUGCCCUCGACUUUGGGAUAACUUCAGGAAACUGGGGCUAAUACCGCAUAUGAGCUCCUGCUGCAUGUUGGGGGUGGGAAAGUUUCGGCGGUUGGGGAUGGACUCGCGGCUUAUCAGCUCGUUGGUGGGGUAGUGGCUUACCAAGGCUUUGCCGGGUAGCCGGCCUGAGAGGGUGACCGGCCACAGUGGGACUGAGAUACGGCCCAGACGCCUACGGGAGGAAGCAGUGGGGGAUAUUGCACAAUGGGCGGAAGCCUGAUGCAGCAACGCCGCGUGCGGGAUGACGGCCUUCGGGUUGUAAACCGCUUUCGCCUGUGACGAAGCGUGAGUGACGGUAAUGGGUGAAGAAGCACCGGCUAACUACGUG